UAAUAUGAUACAAAGGAAUAGAUUGCAUGCAAUCGAAUCCGCGUUUGUUUGAGCUGGUUGGGAGUCGGAUGCUAGCAUAUCUUCCAAAUCAGUUUCAGAAUCAAGAGUACAUCCUUUACCGGCUGCAACGUUGUGAGGCCUCCUCAAGAUAUCCUUUGCCCACCGGAGAGUGACGCGUCUCUACCGGCGACCUCGGAAACGUUCAUGUGGGGCGCAAAGCUUAAGCAGCCUUCCCAAGAUCUUCCUUGCGCAUCGGUGACU
rnacentral:lncRNA from 1 species